rnacentral:rRNA from 1 species
UACGUAGGGUGCGAGCGUUGUCCGGAAUUACUGGGCGUAAGGAGCUCGUAGGUGGUUUGUCGCGUUGUUCGUGAAAUCUCACGGCUUAACUGUGAGCGUGCGGGCGAUACGGGCAGACUAGAGUACUGCAGGGGAGACUGGAAUUCCUGGUGUAGCGGUGGAAUGCGCAGAUAUCAGGAGGAACACCAGCGGCGAAGGCGGCGCUCUGGGCCGGUACUGACACUGAGGAGCGAAAGCGUGGGUAGCAAACAGG